UACGUAGGGGGCGAGCGUUAUCCGGAUUUACUGGGUGUAAAGGGAGCGUAGACGGUUAAUCAAGUCUGAAGUGAAAGCCCGCGGCUCAACUGCGGAACGGCUUUGGAAACUGAGUAACUGGAGUGCUGGAGGGGCAGGCGGAAUUCCUGGUGUAGCGGUGAAAUGCGUAGAUAUCAGGAGGAACACCGGUGGCGAAGGCGGCCGCCUGGCCUGUUACUGACGCUGAGGCACGAAAGCGUGGGGAGCAAAUAGG
rnacentral:rRNA from 1 species